rfam:Triticum urartu cultivar G1812 contig348745, whole genome shotgun sequence.
AUUAUACCCCCUCCGUUCGAAAAUACUUGUGAUCAAAAUGGAUAAAAAAAGAUAUAUCUAGAACUAAAAUACGUCGAUACAUCUUCUUUUAUCCAUUUUGAUGACAAGUAUUUCUAGACGGAGGGAGUAGCUA